GCUCAGGAUGAACGCUGGCGGCGUGCUUAACACAUGCAAGUCGAACGGGGGUAGCAAUACCCAAGUGGCGGACGGGUGAGUAACGCGUGAGAAUCUGGCCUUAGGAGGGGGAUAACCGUUGGAAACGACAGCUAAUACCCCAUAUGCCGAGAGGUGAAAUAAAAUUUGCCUAAGGAUGAGCUCGCGUCGGAUUAGCUAGUUGGUGGGGUAAUGGCUUACCAAGGCUGCGAUCCGUAGCUGGUCUGAGAGGAUGAUCAGCCACACUGGGACUGAGACACGGCCCAGACUCCUACGGGAGGCAGCAGUGGGGAAUUUUCCGCAAUGGGCGCAAGCCUGACGGAGCAACGCCGCGUGAGGGAGGACUGCCUGUGGGUUGUAAACCUCUUUUCUCUGUGAAGAUAAUGACGGUAGCAGAGGAAUCAGCAUCGGCUAACUCCGUGCCAGCAGCCGCGGUAAUACGGAGGAUGCAAGCGUUAUCCGGAAUGAUUGGGCGUAAAGCGUCCGCAGGUGGCAUAACAAGUCUUAUGUUAAAGCGCGGAGCUUAACUCCGUAAGGGCAUAGGAAACUGUUGAGCUAGAGUACAGUAGGGGUCACGGGAAUUCCCGGUGUAGCGGUGAAAUGCGUAGAUAUCGGGAAGAACACCAGCGGCGAAAGCGCGUGACUGGGCUGUAACUGACACUCAUGGACGAAAGCUAGGGGAGCGAAAGGGAUUAGAUACCCCUGUAGUCCUAGCUGUAAACGAUGGCAACUAGGUGUUGGACGUAUCGACCCGUUCAGUGCCGUAGCUAACGCGUUAAGUUGCCCGCCUGGGGAGUACGCUCGCAAGAGUGAAACU
rnacentral:rRNA from 1 species